rnacentral:rRNA from 1 species
GGUGGGAUUACCCGCUGAACUUAAGCAUAUCAAUAAGCGGAGGAAAAGAAACUAACAAGGAUUCCCCUAGUAACGGCGAGUGAAGAGGGAAAAGCCCAAAUUUGUAAUCUGGCUCUUUUAGAGUCCGAGUUGUAAUUUUGAGAACUGUUUUCAGUGCUGGACCAUGUUUAAGUCUGUUGAAAAACAGCAUCAUUGAGGGUGAUAAUCCCGUUCAUGAUAUGGACUACCAGUACUUUAUGAUACAGUCUCUAAGAGUCGAGUUGUUUGGGAAUGCAGCUCAAAGUGGGUGGUAAAUUCCAUCUAAGGCUAAAUAUAGGUGAGAGACCGAUAGCAAACAAGUACCGUGAGGGAAAGAUGAAAAGAACUUUGGAAAGAGAGUUAACAGUACGUGAAAUUGCUGAAAGGGAAACAAUUGAAGUUAGCCUUGUUAUUGUCAGUUCAGCUCUUUUAGAGUGUAUUCUGAUGAUUAACGACCAACAUCAGUCUUUGAGUGCUGGAUAAGGGUUUUGGAAAUGUAGCAGUCUCGGCUGUGUUAUAGUCCAUUACUUUGAUACAGUGCUUGGGAUUGAGGAUCGCAGUAAGCCAUUUUAUGGUGGACCAAAUUUUUGGUCUUCUUACUGAGGAUGUUGGUGAAAU